GAUCCUGGCUCAGGAUGAACGCUAGCGACAGGCCUAACACAUGCAAGUCGAGCGGCAGCACUCGGGUGGCGAGCGGCGCACGGGUGAGUAACGCGUAUGUAACCUGCCCAUGAGUGGGGGGAUAGCCCGGUGAAAACCGGAUUAAUACCCCAUGACACCAUUGUCUGACAUCUUAGAAUGGUUAAAGAUUCAUCGCUCAUGGAUGGACAUGCGUUGGAUUAGCUGGUCGGCGGGGCAACGGCCCACCGAGGCGACGAUCCAUAGGGGUUCUGAGAGGAAGGUCCCCCACAUUGGUACUGAGACACGGACCAAACUCCUACGGGAGGCAGCAGUGAGGAAUAUUGGUCAAUGGGCGGAAGCCUGAACCAGCCAAGUCGCGUGAAGGAAGACGGCAUUAUGUGUUGUAAACUUCUUUAGCUGUGGAGAAAUAAGGUGGUCGAGACCACCGAUGCUAGUACACAGAGAAUAAGGAUCGGCUAACUCCGUGCCAGCAGCAGC
rnacentral:rRNA from 1 species